CCUACGGGGGGCAGCAGUGGGGAAUAUUGGGCAAUGGGCGCAAGCCUGACCCAGCAACGCCGCGUGGAGGAAGAAGGCUUUCGGGUUGUAAACUUCUUUUGUCAGGGAAGAGUAGAAGACGGUACCUGACGAAUAAGCCACGGCUAACUACGUGCCAGCAGCCGCGGUAAUACGUAGGUGGCAAGCGUUGUCCGGAUUUAUUGGGUGUAAAGGGCGUGUAGGCGGGAAAGCAAGUCAGAUGUGAAAACUCAGGGCUCAACCCUGAGCCUGCAUUUGAAACUGUUUUUCUUGAGUGCUGGAGAGGC
rnacentral:rRNA from 1 species